UACGGAGGGUGCAAACGUUAAUCGGAAUCACUGGGCGUAAAGCGCGCGUAGGCGGCUCGUUAAGUGGGAUGUGAAAGCCCUGGGCUCAACCCAGGAAUUGCAUUCCAUACUGGCGGGCUCGAGUGCAGUAGAGGGAGGUGGAAUGACCGGUGUAGCGGUGAAAUGCGUAGAGAUCGGUCAGAACACCAGUGGCGAAGGCGGCCUCCUGGACUGACACUGACGCUGAGGUGCGAAAGCGUGGGGAGCAAACAGG
rnacentral:misc_RNA from 1 species